GGCAACCUGUUAGGGUCUGCUUUUGCGCUGACGGAAGGUUUUCCUCGUUUGGUUUUUGUAGUAAAUCUUACUGCUGCUCAGUGUUUGCGUCUGUGCUGCGUUUGUGAGCUGCAACGCUCACGGUAAAGGUCUACAGCUUCACUCCUGAAGCCAGCGAGACUGUAAAUCCACUGGGAGGGGCAGAGAACUCUGGACAUGCUGCAUUUUAAGGAGCUGUGACACUCACCGCGGAGGUUUGCAGUUUCACUCCUGAAAUCAGUGAGACCACGAACGCACCAGAAGGAACAAACUCCAGACACACCGUUUUUAGGAACCGUAACAUGUACCGCGAGGGUCUGCGGCUUCAUUCCUGAAGACGAGACUAAGAACCCACCAACUUUUGGACACAAAACCACCCCAAAAUGUGAGUUUCUAAAGGAUGAGCUAAAAAUAAAAACAACGAAAGUGUUGCCCAUGGUGAUCGCUCCAGACGUCCGGAGACGGUGUUCAGCGCUGCUGCAGGAGAGACUUUAUGUUCUAUUCCGUUGGUCUGCCUAUCUAAAAAGCAAAAUUUCAAAUACUGACACCGAUAGAUGAAGAUGCUUUCGCUUCUUCCCUGUUUCAUCCAGUUGGGGGCUAAGUGUCCUUCGGUUUGGACUGUGCAGCUCGGGUCACCUUCUCUCUGUGGAACAGCAAGUGAAGAAAGAGGCGCAGAGCCCUGUGUUCCAAACCAUGGAGACAAUUGAGAAAGUGGGAACCCAUUAUUCCCCAAGCCCAGCCAGCAAACCUCACCGAUGAAACAGAUAAGCACUUCCUGCAGGUAGGGCUGACACUGGCCAGGACACAGCCCUCUCUCUCACAGCCGUGUUCCAGGUUGUUUGUGCACAAAAUUUCACAAAGGUCAGAGCUCGUCUCUCCAAACAGAUGAGCUUUGCGGUUAACCUGAAUUCACUGAACUAGGAUUUAUUAUUAUUAUUCUAUUUUACCUCUAACAGAAGUUUAAGGUCCGUGUAAGUUUCGUUCCUCUCUCUGAUUGUAGGGGAGACGCCCAGAGCGCCGUUUGGAGGAAAGAACCUGGCGUCCUUUCCUUACCUUCAUUUCAGGUACCCAGCUCCUAGCAAAUGUGUCUUCCUCCCGGGUUCUUUGGGGUAAAGAAUUUGGUGAGAAGGAGCUGAAUGUUACGGCUGCGCUUCUCAGACACCUGCUCGGAGCCAAGCAUCCUCUCACCCUUUCCUUCAACUGGUAGCCAGAAAAUACGGGUUGAGCAUCAGGGAUUCUCAACCGCGUCAAGCUCCAGCCCGGCCUGUUGUGACAGACAUUUCCUGAUGCCUGUUGCUCUCUGGAAUGAAGGUCAUGGGCAGUAUUACCCACACAGCCAUUCAAAAUCAAUCGGCUUCGUGAUCUGUUUUGAAAGGAUGGCGAUUGCCGUGCCAGCACGUGACAUGGACUCGGAUGCCUGCGCACCCAGGUGCACCUUCCAGAAGGUGAGGUCAGCCCAAGCGCCCAUCGCCAUGUGAGUGCGCUGCUGCACAGCGACCAGUUGCUGGAAUGUUCUGAACAGAGCACAGUGCCACCCACUUUGAUGUGCGCUAUUGUUAGAUCUCCGGAAAAAUCAGAGUGCGUUAAAUUCCUGCAAAAACUC
rnacentral:lncRNA from 1 species